ACCCGCACUCACACCAUUCUGGCAGACGUGCAUCUCUGUUUCUAUUCAUUCUCCUCAUGAUGCUUCCAAAUGAUCGUGGGUUGUUGGAGCUCCCAGCUGCGUUGCUCGCGCUAGCCAUAACGUGUGGUUUUCAAAGAUGGAGAAGACACUGUAGGAGAAGCAAUAGAGGAGAGUCACCUCUGGUGCGAUGGAGAAGAGAGGAGAAGAGAGUCAAUUGGGGGUUAGGAUUUUUAACCUCAAUUUAGGGACCAAAUUGAGUCAAAACAGUUUACGUCGCCACGUCAGCUAGCCGUUGUGCUGACAGCGUGUCACCAACGAGUCCAGGUCAGCUUUCCGGUUGCGCCAGCUGGACGAAAUUGGCCGGAAGGACGAGUCUGAGUUCCGGAGUGCAACUUCAGGAAUGAAUAUGAGUAAUUUUUAACUUCAGGGAUCACUAUGAGGCUCGAGGGUAACUUCAGGGACCACUUUAAGGCUUAUCUCGAAAUACACCUGCAG